rnacentral:tRNA from 1 species
AACGGGGUAGCUGAGUGGUUAAGGCUAUAGAUUGCUAAUCCAUUGGGGUUUCUCCGCGUGGGUUCAUCCAAUCCCCGUCG